rnacentral:rRNA from 1 species
UACAGAGGGUGCAAGCGUUAAUCGGAAUUACUGGGCGUAAAGCGUGCGUAGACGGUUACAUAAGUCAGAUGUGAAAGCCCCGGGCUCAACCUGGGAAUUGCAUUUGAGACUGAAUAGCUAGGGUGCGGAAGAGGGAAGCGGAAUUUCCGGUGUAGCGGUGAAAUGCGUAGAUAUCGGAAGGAACACCAGUGGCGAAAGCGGCUUCCUGGUCCAGCACAGACGUUCAGGCACGAAAGCGUGGGGAGCAAACAGG